rnacentral:misc_RNA from 1 species
UCUCCGUAGGUGAACCUGCGGAGGGAUCAUUGCAGAGUUCAUGCCCUACCGGGUAGAUCUCCCACCCUAUGUUAUUAUUACUUUGUUGCUUUGGCGGGCCGUUAGGCUCCGGCCCGACUACCGGCCCCGGCUGGUAAGCGCCCGCCAGAGGACCCAAAACCCUGAAUAUUAGUGUCGUCUGAGUACUAUAUAAUAGUUAAAACUUUCAACAACGGAUCUCUUGGUUCUG